rnacentral:rRNA from 1 species
CCANGGCGAAGGCGUCUCUUCAGGACGGAUUUGUCGGCAAGGGACGAAAGCUAGGGCACGAACCGGAUAGAUACCCGGUAGUCCUAUCCUUAAACGAUUACUCGUUAGGUGUCGGCCACGGUGCGACCGUGGUCGGUGCCGUAGGGAAGCCGUGAAGCGAGCCACCUGGGAAGUACGGCCGCAAGGCUGAAACUUAAAGGAAUUGGCGGGGGAGCACUACAACGGGUGGAGCUUGCGGUUUAAUUGGAUUCAACGCCGGAAAUCUCACCGGGACCGACAGCAAUAUGAAGGCCAGGCUGAAGACCUUGCCGGAUUAGCUGAGAGGUGGUGCAUGGCCGUCGUCAGUUCGUACUGUGAAGCAUCCUGUUAAGUCAGGCAACGAGCGAGACCCACGCCCACAGUUGCCAGCGUACUCUCUGGAGUGACGGGUACACUGUGGGGACCGCCGCUGCUAAAGCGGAGGAAGGAAUGGGCAACGGUAGGUCAGUAUGCCCCGAAUAUCCCGGGCUACACGCGAGCUACAAUGGUUGGUACAAUGGGUAUCUACCCCGAAAGGGGAUGGAAAUCUCCUAACGCCAAUCUUAGUUCGGAUCGAGGGCUGCAACUCGCCCUCGUGAAGCUGGAAUCCGUAGUAAUCGCACAUCAACAGUGUGCGG